rnacentral:rRNA from 1 species
GACGAACGCUGGCGGCGUGCCUAAUACAUGCAAGUUGAGCGAUGAAGCUUGGUGCUUGCACCAAUUUGAAGAGCAGCGAACGGGUGAGUAACGCGUGGGGAAUCUGCCUUUGAGCGGGGGACAACAUUUGGAAACGAAUGCUAAUACCGCAUAAUAACUUUAAACAUAAGUUUUAAGUUUGAAAGAUGCAAUUGCAUCACUCAAAGAUGAUCCCGCGUUGUAUUAGCUAGUUGGUGAGGUAAAGGCUCACCAAGGCGAUGAUACAUAGCCGACCUGAGAGGGUGGUCGGCCACAUUGGGACUGAGACACGGCCCAAACUCCUACGGGAGGCAGCAGUAGGGAAUCUUCGGCAAUGGACGAAAGUCUGACCGAGCAACGCCGCGUGAGGGAAGAAGGUUUUCGGAUCGUAAAACUCUGUUGGUAGAGAAGAACGUUGGUGAGAGUGGAAAGCUCAUCAAGUGACGGUAACUACCCAGAAAGGGACGGCUAACUACGUG